rnacentral:rRNA from 1 species
GUGCCAGCAGCCGCGGUAAUACAGAGGGUGCUAGCGUUGUUCGGAAUUAUUGGGCGUAAAGAGCGCGUAGGCGGUUUGCUAAGUCUGGUGUGAAAGCCCUCGGCUUAACUGAGGAAGUGCAUUGGAUACUGGCAAGCUUGAGUGUGAGAGAGGAUUGUGGAAUUCCUGGUGUAGCGGUGAAAUGCGUAGAUAUCAGGAGGAACACCGGUGGCGAAGGCGGCAAUCUGGAUCAUAACUGACGCUGAGGCGCGAAAGCGUGGGUAGCAAACAGGAUUAGAUACCCUGGUAGUCC